rnacentral:rRNA from 1 species
GUGGGGAAUAUUGCACAAUGGGCGCAAGCCUGAUGCAGCAACGCCGCGUGAAGGAAGACGGUUUUCGGAUUGUAAACUUCUGUUCUUAGUGAAGAAUAAUGACGGUAGCUAAGGAGCAAGCCACGGCUAACUACGUGCCAGCAGCCGCGGUAAUACGUAGGUGGCAAGCGUUGUCCGGAAUUACUGGGUGUAAAGGGAGCGCAGGCGGGUGAUCAAGUCAGCUGUGAAAACUACGGGCUUAACCCGUAGACUGCAGUUGAAACUGUUCAUCUUGAGUGAAGUAGAGGUUGGCGGAAUUCCGAGUGUAGCGGUGAAAUGCGUAGAUAUUCGGAGGAACACCGGUGGCGAAGGCGGCCAACUGGACAUUAACUGACGCUGAGGCGCGAAAGCGUGGGGAGCAAACAGGAUUAGAAACCCUAGUAGUCC